rnacentral:rRNA from 1 species
UACGUAGGGAGCAAGCGUUGUCCGGAAUCAUUGGGCGUAAAGCGCGCGUAGGUGGCCUCGUAAGUCCGCUGUGAAAGUCAAAGGCUCAACCUUUGAAAGCCGGUGGAUACUGCAGGGCUAGAGUACGGAAGAGGCGAGUGGAAUUCCUGGUGUAGCGGUGAAAUGCGCAGAUAUCAGGAAGAACACCCGUGGCGAAGGCGGCUCUCUGGGACGGUACUGACGCUGAGACGCGAAAGCGUGGGGAGCGAACAGG